GGGCCAUUGGCGCAGCUGGCUAGCGCGCAUGCAUGACACGCAUGAGGUCACAGGUUCAAGUCCUGUAUGGCCCA
rnacentral:tRNA from 1 species